UACGGAGGGAGCUAGCGUUGUUCGGAAAUACUGGGCGUAAAGCGCACGUAGGCGGCGCAGCAAGUCAGGGGGGAAAUCCCGGGGCUCAACCUCGGAACUGCCCUUGAAACUGCAGUGCUAGAAUCUUGGAGAGGCGAGUGGAAUUCCGAGUGUAGAGGUGAAAUUCGUAGAUAUUCGGAAGAACACCAGUGGCGAAGGCGACUCGCUGGACAAGUAUUGACGCUGAGGUGCGAAAGCGUGGGGAGCAAACAGG
rnacentral:rRNA from 1 species